GAUACAGCUAAAGCUUUCCUUGAGGACCUUGAGAAGAGAUUUGCUAAGAAUGAAAAGGCUGAAACUAGUACAAUCUUAGCAAAGCUCAUCUCUAUGAGGUACACAGGCAAAGAAAAUAUAAGAGAGUAGAUUAUGGAAAUGUCUGAUGCUGCUUCAAAAUUAAAGGCACUCAAGUUGGAUUUAUCUGAAGACUUGUUAGUGCAUUGGGUUUUGAUAUCCCUUACAGCACAGUUCAGUCAGUUGAAAGUGAGCUAUAACUGUCAAAAGGACUCUUGGUCCCUUAAUAAGCUCAUCUCACACUGUGUUCAGGAGGAAGAUAGAUUGAAGCAAGAAAGGACACCGAGUGUUCAUUUGGCCUCCACCACAAAGGACAAAAGGAAAGACAAUAAGAGAUAGAAGUAAUAGGAAGCUAUAGAAAUAGCACCGCAAAAGAAACAACAUAAGGAACCAACUCAGGAUGGUUGUUUCUUCUGUAGAGUGGCAGGUCAUAAGAAGAAGCAGUGUACCAACUAUCAUGCAUGGCAUGUAAAGAAAGGUAUGCUUCUUAACUUUGUUUGUUCUGAGGUUAAUUUGGCUUCAGUACCUAGACACACAUGGUGGAUGGAUUCUGGUGCAACAACUCACAUCAAUGUGUCCAUGCAGGGUUGCCUGAAUUAACGAAAACCUAGUGAUGGUGAAAGAUACAUCUAUGUUGGUGAUGGCAAGUCAGUAGAGGUCUAAGCAAUUGGAACUUUUAGAUUAUUGUUAAGAACUGGUUAUUAUUUGGAUUUGAUUGAGACUUUUGUUGUACCGUCCUUUAGACGGAAUUUGAUUUCUAUUUCAGUAUUGG
rnacentral:misc_RNA from 1 species